AAAUGAUGAUAUUUAUCUGUUGUACAUUAUAACAAAAAUCUUGAUUUUCGAAAACAGUUUUUUAAAAUGACGAGGUCCGACGUCAUUAUCCUGAGAUAGGCUCGAGCAUUGAUUCGGGCACAGGUUUCCGUAAUACGGUUUUUCCUGGUCGGCCUUGGCUAUCAAUGAGGGGUAAUUUUAUUAAACGCACAGUAUACAAUAUUUUGCUGUGGUUGUACAUAAUGAAAUGAUUGGUAAAUAAAAUGCAAUUUGAUUACUGAUUUAUAUGUCACGAUUAUAGAUGUAUUAUACAAUUAUAUCUGGCGUCCAUCACGUACGACGG
rnacentral:lncRNA from 1 species